UUACCUGGCAGAAUAAGUCUAUUCUAGAAACAUGGGACGUCGAGUCUUGCUUCUCUUCGUGGUGGUGGCAACCAUUCUGCUGUCAAUGGGAGUGGAGGCAGACCCACGUCCGAGACGCUACCCCCGCAGUGUAGACAGUGAGAUACCCACAGACGGUCCUUAAUUCGACUUGGCCGAUGUGACAACAGAAGACGGCACAAUCGCGCUUGUUUUGGUGCGCUACUGCAACACAUCAUUGAUAUGGAGACUUCUUCACACAGCCUGCACUAUGAAUGGAGCA